rnacentral:rRNA from 1 species
UUUCACUAUUAAAGAAUUUCGGUUAUCGAUGGGGAUGCGUUCCAUUAGAUAGUUGGCGGGGUAACGGCCCACCAAGUCAACGAUGGAUAGGGGUUCUGAGAGGAAGGUCCCCCACAUUGGAACUGAGACACGGUCCAAACUCCUACGGGAGGCAGCAGUGAGGAAUAUUGGUCAAUGGACGAGAGUCUGAACCAGCCAAGUAGCGUGAAGGAUGACUGCCCUAUGGGUUGUAAACUUCUUUUAUACGGGAAUAAAGUGGAGUAUGCAUACUCCUUUGUAUGUACCGUAUGAAUAAGGAUCGGCUAACUCCGUGCCAGCAGCCGCGGUAAUACGGAGGAUCCGAGCGUUAUCCGGAUUUAUUGGGUUUAAAGGGAGCGUAGGCGGGUGCUUAAGUCAGUUGUGAAAGUUUGCGGCUCAACCGUAAAAUUGCAGUUGAUACUGGGUACCUUGAGUGCAGCAUAGGUAGGCGGAAUUCGUGGUGUAGCGGUGAAAUGCUUAGAUAUCACGAAGAACUCCGAUUGCGAAGGCAGCUUACUGGACUGUAACUGACGCUGAUGCUCGAAAGUGUGGGUAU